rnacentral:lncRNA from 1 species
GAACAGCCUCCUCGAAAAUGCAGCUGGACCGUGAUCCAUGGCAAAACGCUGGAAUACCUAUGCCAGCUUCUGGAAGCUGGAAAAUUCAUCCCGUUGAACUUGAUACAUAUACAACAGUAGCUUGAAAGCGAACCAUCUGCUCAUUCUGUCCUUUGUCCUUAUAAUCACUCCCUCCCAGGGCAUGUAAUUAAUUUACUGAGCUUUAAAAAGAAAAAGU